CUUUAUUUUUUCUUUGCAGGUUAUUGCAAUUUUCAGUGACAAAACAACGGAUAGAGAUAUUUGUAAUUUGCCUCCGGUAACCGGGCCAUGUCGCAGUGAUUUUAAAAGGUACUAUUGGGACAAUAAGGCGAAAGAUUGUCUGGUAUUUUCCUACGGAGGAUGCCAAGGCAAUGAGAACAAUUUCGAAAAUGAAGUUGAGUGCCGCCGAAAGUGCAGGGCUUCAUUAUUGAGAGAUGCACCAACCCCGAACUAACGUGUAAAUAAUUAAGCAGUUGUU